GAGAGACGAAUUUUGGUCCCUAAGAGACCUCAUGAUGCAAAUGUAUGUAUGCAAAAGGUAAUACUCUGUGGAGAUAUGUGUCCACAAAGAAAGAAAAGAAAUCAGGAGAAACUGAUAAUCCAUAUGAGUAGUACGCUCAACGGGACAGAGACUCUGAGGACUCUUAUGGGGAUAAGAAAAGGAAUAAGAUGCGUGAGCAGGUCAC
rnacentral:lncRNA from 1 species